UGCCUAAUACAUGCAAGUCGAGCGAACGGACGAGAAGCUUGCUUCUCUGAUGUUAGCGGCGGACGGGUGAGUAACACGUGGAUAACCUACCUAUAAGACUGGGAUAACUUCGGGAAACCGGAGCUAAUACCGGAUAAUAUUAUGAACCGCAUGGUUCAAAAGUGAAAGACGGUCUUGCUGUCACUUAUAGAUGGAUCCGCGCUGCAUUAGCUAGUUGGUAAGGUAACGGCUUACCAAGGCAACGAUGCAUAGCCGACCUGAGAGGGUGAUCGGCCACACUGGAACUGAGACACGGUCCAGACUCCUACGGGAGGCAGCAGUAGGGAAUCUUCCGCAAUGGGCGAAAGCCUGACGGAGCAACGCCGCGUGAGUGAUGAAGGUCUUCGGAUCGUAAAACUCUGUUAUUAGGGAAGAACAUAUGUGUAAGUAACUGUGCACAUCUUGACGGUACCUAAUCAGAAAGCCACGGCUAACUACGUGCCAGCAGCCGCGGUAAUACGUAGGUGGCAAGCGUUAUCCGGAAUUAUUGGGCGUAAAGCGCGCGUAGGCGGUUUUUUAAGUCUGAUGUGAAAGCCCACGGCUCAACCGUGGAGGGUCAUUGGAAACUGGAAAACUUGAGUGCAGAAGAGGAAAGUGGAAUUCCAUGUGUAGCGGUGAAAUGCGCAGAGAUAUGGAGGAACACCAGUGGCGAAGGCGACUUUCUGGUCUGUAACUGACGCUGAUGUGCGAAAGCGUUGGGGAUCAAACAGGAUUAGAUACCCUG
rnacentral:rRNA from 1 species